UACCAGCAGGUUCAGUCAGUCGAUCCUAAAACACAAAACCCAUUUUGAAGUGAUGAAUACACCAAUGCAUUCUCAAAUAUUAAGAGAGUUCACUGGAGUGCAGUAAGUAAACACAUCAACAAUACACACCCGCUUUCUCAAAUGCCAAAAUGACACAUUGGUAUAGUGAUAGGAUUCAUUUGCAGCCUUGCAGCAUUAAUUCCCCUACCGACUGUAUAGGAGUUGCACCUGGGAGCUCAGUUUGAGAGCAUGUGUAAAUACAAUUAAAAAAGGUUGACAAUUUAAAUGUGGCACUGUGACAAUGAACAUUGGGUGUACUCUUCACAGUUACAUUUCCAGGUUUGGUAAAUGUGCAUGUUGUAUGAAAUCAUUUAAAAGUUAUCUGUUGUAAGGAACAGAUGAAUGCGAGAGAGCAAGAUCUCUCCAGCAGAUGGUGAUAUCGCAAUCAUUUGUAAAAAUGUCACAAUUUACUCUGUCUUUUUACUGAGUGACGGAACAGUACAGUGUAAUAU